AGUGAACGCUGGCGGUAGGCCUAACACAUGCAAGUCGAACGGCAGCACAGUAAGAGCUUGCUCUUACGGGUGGCGAGUGGCGGACGGGUGGGGAAUACAUCGGAAUCUACUUUUUCGUGGGGGAUAACGUAGGGAAACUUACGCUAAUACCGCAUACGACCUACGGGUGAAAGCAGGGGAUCUUCGGACCUUGCGCGAUUGAAUGAGCCGAUGUCGGAUUAGCUAGUUGGCGGGGUAAAGGCCCACCAAGGCGACGAUCCGUAGCUGGUCUGAGAGGAUGAUCAGCCACACUGGAACUGAGACACGGUCCAGACUCCUACGGGAGGCAGCAGUGGGGAAUAUUGGACAAUGGGCGCAGGCCUGAUCCAGCCAUACCGCGUGGGUGAAGAAGGCCUUCGGGUUGUAAAGCCCUUUUGUUGGGAAAGAAAAGCAGCAGGUUAAUACCCCGCUGUUCUGACGGUACCCAAAGAAUAAGCACCGGCUAACUUCGUG
rnacentral:rRNA from 1 species